rnacentral:rRNA from 1 species
CACGUAGGGCGCGAGCGUUGUCCGGAAUUAUUGGGCGUAAAGAGCUCGUAGGCGGCCUGUUGCGUCCGCUGUGAAAGCCCGGGGCUUAACCCCGGGUCUGCAGUGGAUACGGGCAGGCUAGAGGUAGGUAGGGGAGAAUGGAAUUCCCGGUGUAGCGGUGAAAUGCGCAGAUAUCGGGAGGAACACCGGUGGCGAAGGCGGCCUGCUGGGCAGUUUAGCUGACACUGAGGCGCGACAGCGUGGGGAGCAAACAGG